AUUGAACGCUGGCGGCAGGCCUAACACAUGCAAGUCGAGCGAGCGGGGGACGGGUGAGUAAUGUCUGGGAAACUGCCUGAUGGAGGGGGAUAACUACUGGAAACGGUAGCUAAUACCGCAUACCAUCAGAUGUGCCCAGAUGGGAUUAGCUAGUAGGUGGGGUAACGGCUCACCUAGGCAACGAUCCCUAGCUGGUCUGAGAGGAUGACCAGCCAAAAUGGGAAUGAGACACGGUCCAGACUCCUACGAGAGGCAGCAGUGGGGAAUAUUGCACAAUGGGCGCAAGCCUGAUGCAGCAAUGCCGCGUGUGUGAAGAAGGCCGUCGGGUUGUAAAGCACUUUCAGCGAGGAAACGUUACCCGCAGAAGAAGCACCGGCUAACUCCGUGCCAGCAGCCGCGGUAAUAC
rnacentral:rRNA from 1 species